AGGUUAGGGAUAGUGUCGUUUUCUGGGUAAAGGAUUAGUCUUCAGUAAUCCCCGUUUCAAAGUUGAAAGGAUUAAGGUUGUACUAGCAAUUUUAAUCUAAUCAUCCUUUAAUUUUGUUGGGGUUUGUAGUGGUUGACUUGGACUAGGCUAACCUUUUCUUUUUCUAAUAAACUCAGAUUGGACUGUGCCCAACCUCUCUCUCUCUCUCUCUCUCUCUCUGUUUAUCUGUCUAAAUCUAUAUCUAAUAGACUCAGGAUUGGAGAUAAUGAUGGUUACUCUUUAAUCCCUUUCUAUUUUUUAUAACUUAGCCUAUAGAUUUUCAUUUGUGUGAUACAACACUUAUCAUGAACCAAUUUCC
rnacentral:lncRNA from 1 species